GACGAACGCUGGCGGCGUGCUUAACACAUGCAAGUCGAGCGGUAAGGCCCUUUCGGGGGUACACGAGCGGCGAACGGGUGAGUAACACGUGGGUGACCUGCCCUCAGCUCUGGGAUAAGCCUGGGAAACUGGGUCUAAUACCGGAUAUGACUCCAUGACGCAUGUUGUGGGGUGGAAAGCCUUGUGCGGCUGAGGAUGGGCCCGCGGCCUAUCAGCUUGUUGGUGGGGNGAUGGCCUACCAAGGCGACGACGGGUAGCCGGCCUGAGAGGGCGACCGGCCACACUGGGACUGAGACACGGCCCAGACUCCUACGGGA
rnacentral:rRNA from 1 species